CUUGUUUUUAAUGUUUGAAUAAACAAACAUGGAAAAAAAAAAAAAAUCUGUUCUUAUCAGCUUAAUAUCUGAUACGUCCUCCAUUGGGGGACUUCGAUAUUAAACUGAUUUUUGAAACAUGACGGAGUGUUAGGGGCUUGCUCCACCUCUGUCACGGGUCGGCCUGGUAUUGCAGUACCUCCAGGAUCGGCCCACUCUCC
rnacentral:snRNA from 1 species